CAGCCUCUCACUUGUCUGACGUCUCCAGAAUUUCUAGGAAUGCCCCUUCCCUGUUACUAUAUUUGGAGGUAGUUUCUAGGAAAAUAAUUUUCAGAGGAUCUGGACUUCAGCACAGCUCCAUAUUCAGAACCACUUUAAGGAUCACUCUUCCUUUUUUUUUUGCAGCAAACACAGGAGCCUUCUUCAGUGUUUUUGGAUCAUUAAUGAGAUUUGCAAAAUUGUUGCAUUUACAAGGAUAUAUAAAGGGUAAACAUAGCUUUUGUUUUGUAAAUAAUAUAUAUAAAUAUUUUUUAAUGUACUUUGUUUUCUUGGAUUCCUGUCCACCUCUGCUGGAUUUUGUACCCCCUGUUCUGGCCCCUUGUGGUGUGUGACUAGAUGAAGACAUUUCAGGAGCCUGGCACUGUGAUCUUUAUAAAAUGAGUCAGAAUUUGCUAAGGAAAGAGCUGAGGAACCAACAUCAAGUUGCUUUCUGACAAGCAGGAGCUGCAGCCCCGGGCUUCCCUUGCAUGCAGACACUCAAGAAGUGACAGUCGGUGACCGAGCGCUUCAUGCACAGCCAUAAACAGCAGGGAAAAUAAGGGGCUUUUGGGGGCAGAUGUGUUCUGAUUACACUACCAUAAUGCCCCUAAAAAUCCUUAUUCCUCUUGCGGUGUUCUUCUGAAUGUCUCGGCCUCCUAUGAGCAACAACAAGACGCUUCUGGACAAUUCUGGAAAUACGCUGCCUUCGCUUCCUUACGUUAUUUUUGGCCUUGCCUAAAAUAUAGUUUCUGAGGUUUUGCCAAUGUUGACAAAGGUUGUUUUUGUGAGAGGUUUGGGCACAGAUAGGUUGGUACUGAAUAAACCCUUUCACCAUAUGAUUGUCAAUGCAUUACUUAGCAGUUUAUGAUAGAAAAUAAAUAAAUUAUUUUUUUUGCAGGAUGGGAAGCUGUACAAAUUAAUGACUGUUGAUAAUUGUAUUUAUUAAAGCUGAUUCUGAUGUUUACUUACUGCUACAAACUCAAAAUGUUGCAUAUUGAUCAUCUACUGACUUGCUCUAACUUGACCACUGGAUUUCAAACCUGCCCUCAGAUCUCCCUAGCAGGCCAGAUUUGUGGAUGUUUGAACUGGAGCACAGGUGAAAUAAUCAGCUGAUUAGUAAACAUGAUUGUUUUACCUGCUCUCACCUAAGGUAAUCCUGAAAACCUGGCCUGUUGGGGAGGGCUAAGGGCAGGUUUGAAAACCAGUGAUCUAGACGUUGUACACAAAAUGUAUCUCAUGGAUAUGAAAGUGCAUCAGUUUCUUGUUCAAGAAUGGUUUUAAUAAAGAACAUUUUUAUUGAA